rnacentral:lncRNA from 1 species
AGAGGCUAUGGGGGCAGUGAUCUGGAAGGCCAGCUGUGUAGAAGUCCCUGAGGGUCAAAGUCUAGGUCUGGCAGUGUUGGAGAAUAAAACCCUUGGCUGGCCAAACACUGGGAGGCUGCACCUGCUGCUCUGCAAAUAUGCCUGCCCCUGCCUGAGCAGGAGGCCUCAGCCAGCCCUCAGCAGGAACCCAGCCAGGGCCACCCACCCCAGCCAUGCUAAGCCUCUGCCAGAGUGAGAGAGGCCCGCGUGGGCCAGGGGUGGCACAAGAGUCACUCUCAGGGUGGGCCAAAGGGUAUCACAGAGACAGCCCGGCCCUGGAGCCAUGCAGACCAGGAGCCGGGUGCCACCUCCAACACCAACUCACAGUGACUUUGGGCAAGUCCUUUUUUUGUCUUGAACCUCAGUGGGCCUAGUCUUGGCAACUGUGCAGUCGAGUGUCCAGCCCAGGGUCUAGACCAGAGCCAGUGGCAGCAAACAGCCCUGUUAUCAAGAAGCAACAUAACAAGAAGAAAGGAGAAAAAAGACGGAGUUUUGCUCUUGUCGCCCAGGCUGGAGUGCAGUGGCGCAAUCUUGGCUCACUGCAACCUCUGCCUCCCAGGUUCAAGCGAUUCUCCUGCCUCAGCCUCCCAAGUAGCUGGGAUUACAGGCGUGCACCACCACACCUGGCUAAUUUUGUAUUUUUAGUAAAGACGGGGUUUCGUCAUGUUGGCCAGGCUGGUCUCAAACUCUUGACCUCAGGUGAUCUGCCCACCUCGGCCUCCGAAAGUGCUGGGAUUACAAGCGUGAACCACAGCACCUGGCCCCUGCUGGACACACUUCUAAGUGGACAUUUAUUUGCUGUCAUCACUUUAAAGCUAUUACUGCUGCCUCCUAGCUUCUGUCACGGUGGUUGAGGAGCCAGCUCACGUUCUGUGGUCGUUGGUAGGCAAUCUGUCCUUUCUCUUUGCCUGCUUUCAUCGUUUCUCUCCCUCUGACAUUCUGUAGUUUCAAUAAAAUGUGUAUAAGCAUGGAUUUAUGUAUUAUGCUUGAGAUAUUUCGUGUUUCCUGGUUCUGAGACUGUGUUUUUCCAUCGCUUCUGGAAAACCUGCAGCCAUUUCAUCUUCAAAUACCACCUCUUUCCCAUUCCCUUUAUUUUCUUCUUUUGGGACUCCAAUAUAUAAGAUCUUCUCAUUCUUAUUCUCUAUAUCUCUUAAUCUCUUUUCAUGUUAUCCAUCUUCUUAUCUCUGUUGCAUGCUUUAUGUAUAUAAGUCCAGGCUUAUUAAUUGUCUCUCUCUCUCUUUUUUUUUUUUUUCUGUUGUUGUUGUUAAGACAAGGCCUGGCCCUAUCACCCAGGCUGGGGUGCAGUGGUGCAAUCUCGGCUCACUGCAAACUCUGCCUCCCAGGCUCAAACCAUCCUCCCACCUUAGCUUCCUGAGUAGCUGGGACUACAGGCACAUGCCACCACGCUGGGCUAAUUAAUUCUCUAUUCAACUGUUUGUUUGUUGAAUUUUAGAUUUUGAGAGUUUUUUAUGUUUUUUUUUUUAGUAGAGACAAGGUCUUGCUCUGCCACUCAGGCUUGAGUGCAGUGGAG